rnacentral:rRNA from 1 species
GAUGAACGCUAGCGGCAGGCCUAAUACAUGCAAGUCGGACGGGAUUGAGAAGCUUGCUUUUCGUGAGAGUGGCGCACGGGUGCGUAACACGUAUGUAACCUACCUUAAUCAGGGGGAUAGCCUCUCGAAAGAGAGAUUAACACCGCAUAAAAUCAAUUUAUGGCAUCAUAGAAUGAUCAAAUAUUUAUAGGAUUAAGAUGGGCAUGCGGAACAUUAGCUAGUUGGUAAGGUAACGGCUUACCAAGGCUACGAUGUUUAGGGGAUCUGAGAGGAUGACCCCCCACACUAGUACUGAGAAACGAACCAGACUCCUACGGGAGGCAGCAGUAAGGAAUAUUGGUCAAUGGGCGCAAGCCUGAACCAGCCAUGCCGCGUGCAGGAAGACGGCCCUACGGGUUGUAAACUGCUUUUGUACCGGAAUAAACCUUUGUAUGUAUACGAAGCUGAAUGUACGGUAAGAAUAAGGAUCGACUAACUCCGUGCCAGCAGCCGCCGUAA